UACGUAGGGGGCAAGCGUUGUCCGGAAUCAUUGGGCGUAAAGGUUGUGUAGGUGGUUGUAUUAGUCUUCUGUUAAAUUCUUCGGCUUAACCGGGGGCAUGCAGGGGAAACGGUACAACUAGAGGAUGCGAGGGGUCUGUGGAACUCAUAGUGUAGCGGUAAAAUGCGUUGAUAUUAUGGGGAACACCAAAAGCGAAGGCAGCAGACUGGAGCACUCCUGACACUGAAACAAGAAAGCGUGGGUCGCGAAUGGG
rnacentral:rRNA from 1 species